UUUUUUAUAUACGUAUGUUCAUCCAACUGGUACGUAACUCGAAAUUUCAUGUGGAAAGAUUCUCGUUUAGACCGAUACCGGAAACGGGACAAAGAGUAAAAGCAGUGUUGCGUGAACGACAUCCUCCUCCUACUAAAUAUCUACAUACGAAUCACCGAAGAACAAGUGAUACUUUCUUUGCUUUCGAGAAAUAUUCAUCAAUGUGAUUCUUCAACGAUGAUCGAUACAAACAAACAAAAAUACAACACAAAAAUGAAGAAGAUAAUAUUUCGGCAGAUAGAUCAUGAUUAAUGCAUACCUCUGUCUCUCAAAUAAGUUGGCUUCUUUGGAAUAGUAUCGUAUUGCUGUUUGCCUGAAAACGAUCCUGAUGUCGGCGUAAUUGUACUCGUGCUAGCAUCAGACACAGAAUCUGACAUAGUGAGUACUUGUUCGUUUGUUUUCGUUGUCCGUGAUUCCUCCAUUGAGAGUUGUUAUUACAAAUAUUAAAAAUAUCCACCCACGAAAAAAGGAUUAUUAAAAGGGAACAAUUUUAGAUUACAAUCUUGUAAUCUGUUGAAGAAAUAUCUUGAUAAUUUCAAUCUUAUUUAUCUGUGAUUGCUAAUUUAAUUAUUAGGCUGAACCAAAUAAAUGUUCGUGCGUUUAUUCGUAUUGUUUCUUUUUCUUUUUUUCUUUUCAAGUCAAUAUAAAA